GACGAACGCUGGCGGCGUGCUUAACACGUGCAAGUGGUGCGACGAACCAGGCUUCGGCCUGGGGCAGAGCCGCGAACGGGUGAGUAACACGUGGGUAACCUGCCCCGAUGACCGGGACAACCCGGGGAAACCCGGGCUAAUACCGGAUGAGCUCUCCGCCCUUCGGGCGGCGAGGAAAGGUAGCUUCGGCCUCCGCAUCGGGAUGGGCCCGCGGCCCAUUAGCUUGUUGGUGUGGUAACGGCUCACCAAGGCAACGAUGGGUAGCUGGUCUGAGAGGACGAUCAGCCACACUGGGACUGAGACACGGCCCAGACUCCUACGGGAGGCAGCAGUGGGGAAUCUUGCGCAAUGCGCGAAAGCGUGACGCAGCAACGCCGCGUGGGGGAAGAAGGCCUUCGGGUUGUAAACCCCUUUCAGUUGGGACGAAGCCUUCCCUGGUUAAGAGCUAGGGGGGUGACGGUACCUUCAGAAGAAGCCCCGGCUAACUACGUGCCAGCAGCCGCCGUAAAAC
rnacentral:rRNA from 1 species